CACUCCUGCGGGAGGCAGCAGUGGGGAAUAUUGGACAAUGGGCGCAAGCCUGAUCCAGCCAUGCCGCGUGAGUGAUGAAGGCCCUAGGGUUGUAAAGCUCUUUCACCGGAGAAGAUAAUGACGGUAUCCGGAGAAGAAGCCCCGGCUAACUUCGUGCCAGCAGCCGCGGUAAUACGAAGGGGGCUAGCGUUGUUCGGAAUUACUGGGCGUAAAGCGCACGUAGGCGGAUCGAUCAGUCAGGGGUGAAAUCCCAGGGCUCAACCCUGGAACUGCCUUUGAUACUGUCGAUCUGGAGUAUGGAAGAGGUGAGUGGAAUUCCGAGUGUAGAGGUGAAAUUCGUAGAUAUUCGGAGGAACACCAGUGGCGAAGGCGGCUCACUGGUCCAUUACUGACGCUGAGGUGCGAAAGCGUGGGGAGCAAACAGGAUUAGAAACCCCUGUAGUCCCAUGA
rnacentral:rRNA from 1 species